rnacentral:lncRNA from 1 species
AAAAAAUAAAAAUAAAUAAAAAAAAAAUAAAAAAAUAAAAAAUGUUUUAUACUUUUAUAAGCAAAAAAAUAAUACUCCCAAUGUAAGUAACACAUUUGUUUCUAAUUUUAACAAAAAGCACUUUUUUAUAAGACCCAAAUGUCUAAAAAUUAUGAAUAAUAAUAUAUAUGGUGAUUUUAAUAAAGUGAGUAAAAAAAAUGUAAGUCAAUUAAUACAUGGGAAUACGAUAAAACACGAUAACAUACGUGAAGACACAGACGAAGAUAGUAUUGACAAAGUUAGUAUUGACAAAGUUAGUAUUGACAAAGUUAGUAUUGACGAAGUUAGUAUUGACAAAGUUAGUAUUGACGAAGUUAGUAUUGAAAAAGUUACUAAUAAAACUAAUAUUAUAAACAAUUAUGGUGAUAAUAGUGAUGGUAUAGGUAGUGAUAAUGGUAAUGCUUGCGUAAAGGAUGAAAAAACAGUAGAUAAGUACGAACUAGUGAACGAACAUAUACUGAUAGAAAAGGGUAGUAAAAGCAUAAAAGAGUUGAUGGAAGAACGUAUAUGGGUGUUUCCUGAAGAAAACAUAAAAAUGAUAAGAGAAAGAACAGAACAAAAAUUAAAUUGGAAUUAUAUUUUAAAAAAAAAUAAUCCUUUAUUAAUUGAUAACGUUAAUAAAAUAUAUGAAGGAAUAUAUAAAACAAAUAAUAUAGAUGAUAUAUAUUUUUAUUUUGAUACUUAUCCAUAUAAUUAUUUAAAUGUUACUAUGAGUGUUUUUUCACUUUAUAAAAUUGCUACUAGUUUUUUAAAAGAACAAAAAUGGAAAAAUAAAAGUGAAAGAGAAAAAUAUUUUUUUAUAAAUGAACAAAACGAUGAGAAUGAGAAAAGUUUAUCAGUACAUAAUAAUCAGUUACUUACUAACAAAAUAAUUAACGAAGGAAUUAACAACAACAACAACAACAACAAUAACACAAAUGAAAUGAAUAAUAUGUUUAUUGUUGAUAAUACAGACCAUGAAAUAAACAACACACAUUUGUUUAAAAUUAAAGAAGAAAGAAAAAGACUUAGUUAUAUUAUUAAUAAUCGAAAUUUUAAAAGAAUAAUCGGUUCUAUUUAUAAGCAUUUAAAAAUUAUUUAUAAAACAUUUACAACUAAUGAUAAAUUAACAACUUAUGAAAAAAAAUAAAAACAUAUAUAAUUAUAUUCCAUAUAUUAAUAUAAUAGAUAUUAUUACUAUUUUAAAAUCUUUUUAUAUUUUAAAAUAUGAUCAUACAGAUAUAUAUAAAUAUAUAUAUUUUUUUAUUGUUUUUUUUAUUAAUAAAUUUAAUAUUGAAUAUUUAACUGAGGUUGUU